GCAGAGAGGCUUGCGUAUACCCUAGUCCUAUGUCGCACGAGAACAGCUGGAAGAGAGCGAAUAGAGAUGUGUAACCUGUUAUGCUCCUGGGACUCUGGCAAGUUUCAAGGCGUCAGGCCUGUCCUCCAGUAGUUAUGAGCUGAGCCAGUACAUCAACGGUGCUGAACAGACUGAACCUGCCCCACAAGCCACCUGGAGAACAGCAGACACAGUUGAUCCGGGUCAGUCCAGGUCUGGCCAUGCAGGGAGACCCAGGGAAGGUGGAACUACACAGUCUGGAGAUAAUUCUGGGGGAAACGGGAGCAGCGGGACAUGAGAUAAUUUCCUGGGCCGCUGGCUAGGGAAGACCUGCACAAAGGAGAUGCCAUGUGUUUUGUCCACCAGAGGGCAGAAGCCUGCAUGAUAAGGGCUCUGCCGGCCUCCUUUGGAAUCUACUUGUACUGCUGUUCAGCCAAAAUGGAGUAGGUGAACAUCUCUUCACGCUCUUAUAUUAGCGUAUUGUUGGCUCAGACAUGGUAGAGCUGAGGAACUCUCAGGGACAAUAUGGUUCAGGAGGCAGUGAAGGCUCAGAGGCCCCUACCCUAAUAGAUCUGAGCGAGGGCCCCAGUCCUGAGACAAACACCUUGGAUGGAGCAGACCUACUAACAGGGGCAGCCACUAGUGUCUGUAUGGCUGAGUUCACAGAGAAGGAUAUGCAGGGAUACGCC
ensembl:lncRNA